GAUGAACGCUGGCGGCGUGCCUAAUACAUGCAAGUCGAGCGGACGGACGGGAGCUUGCCUCCAGACCGUCUGCGGCGGAAGGGUGAGUAAACCGUUGGCAACCUGCCUGUAAGACUGGGAUAAACUCGGGAAAACGGGGCUAAUAACGGAUAAAUCUUUCGCUCACCUGAGGGAAAGCUGAAAGAUGGCAUUUCGUUUCCAUUAUCAGUUGAGCCCGCGGCGCAUUAGCUAGUUGGUAAGGUAACGGCUCACCAAGGCGACGAUGCGUAGCCGACCUGAGAGGGUGAUCGGCCACACUGGAACUGAGACACGGUCCAGACUCCUACGGGAGGCAGCAGUAGGGAAUCUUCCGCAAUGGGCGAAAGUCUGACGGAGCAACGCCGCGUGAGUGAUGAAGGUUUUCGGAUCGUAAAACUCUGUUAUCAGGGAAGAACAAGUGCCGAAGUAACUGCCGAUACCUUGACGGUACCUAACCAGAAAGCCACGGCUAACUACGUG
rnacentral:rRNA from 1 species